CGAAUACGAGACGCUACGGCGUCGAAGUAGUGUAUGUCACACUUCCAAGAAAAGCUUGCACUGUCAUAAAUAAAAAUGCCUGUACCAUAACCGACACAGGUGGGUAGGUAGAGUAUACUAAGGGGCGCGAGAUAACUCUCUCUAAGGAACUCGGCAAAAUAACUCCGUAACUUCGGGAGAAGGAGUGCCUUAUUUACAUGAGGUUGCAAUAACAAGAUCCAAGCAACUGUUUACCAAAAACACAGGUCUCCGCUAAGUCGUAAGACGAUGUAUGGGGGCUGACGCCUGCCCAGUGCCAGAAGGUUAAAGAAGUUGGUUAGCAUCUGCGAAGCUGAUAACUGAAGCCCUGGUGAACGGCGGCCGUAACAAUAACGGUCCUAAGGUAGCGAAAUUCCUUGUCGGGUAAGUUCCGACCCGCACGAAAGGCGUAAUGAUUUGGAUACUGUCUCGGAGAGGGGCUCGGUGAAAUAGACUUGUCUGUGAAGAUGCGGACUACCUGCACCUGGACAGAAAGACCCUAUGAAGCUUUACUGUAACUUGAAAUUGAAAUUGGACUUUAUUCGCGCAGCAUAGGUGGGAGGCUUUGAAGAUACUCUUGCGGGAGUAUUCGAGCUAUCAGUGAGAUACCACUCUUAUAAUGUUAGAUUUCUAACUUUGAACCAUUAUCUGGUCAAAGAACAGUUUCAGGCGGGCAGUUUGACUGGGGCGGUCGCCUCCUAAACGGUAACGGAGGCGUACAAAGGUUUCCUCUGAACGGAUAGAAAUCGUAUCUAGAGUAUAAAGGCAUAAGGAAGCUUGACUGUGAGACCUACAAGUCGAGCAGGGACGAAAGUCGGUCUUAGUGAUCUGACGGUACUGAGUGGAAAGGCCGUCACUCAACGGAUAAAAGUUACUCUAGGAUAACAGGCUGAUCUCCCCCAAGAGUUCACAUCGACGGGGAGGUUUGGCACCUCGAUGUCGGCUCAUCGCAUCCUGGGGCGGUAGUACGUCCCAAGGGUUGGGCUGUUCGCCCAUGAAAGCGGUACGCGAGCUGGGUUCAGAACGUCGUGAGACAGUUCGGUCCAUAUCCGGUGUAGGCGUUAGAAUAUUGAGAGGAGCCUUCUCUAGUACGAGAGGACCGAGAAGGACAUACCUCUGGUGUACCAGUUAUCGUGCCAACGGUAAACGCUGGGUAGCUAUGUAUGGAGUGGAUAACCGCUGAAAGCAUCUAAGUGGGAAGCCCACCUCAAGAUAAG
rnacentral:rRNA from 1 species